rnacentral:lncRNA from 1 species
CUGCUCGGGGCUGGAGACAGGGCUGCUGCUCCUGAAGCCUCAGAGCUGCUCCUUCCCCUUGGCAAUCACUGCCUGCACAGUCCUGUGGUGUGGGCUGGGGCCGGCUGGGGAUAAACAGGGCGAUGUCAAGCUGGGGUGAGCUUUCCAGUCAGGUUGUGUCAGUACACAUUGCUCAAGAGGUGAAGAUGCUCAUGGUGUCUUCCCUGUCCAUUCCCUGGGCCAUUCAUUCAUUUAUUUGUGCUAGUUUUACAGGAAAUAUCCCUCCAUCUUUAACUGCAUCUUAGGUUCUUUGUCUGGCGAGCCAUAGAAAAGGCAAAAUGAGGUUCUAUAAGAAGACAUCUGUUUGUAAUGCAUGCUUUUCUUCCCUUACCUUCUUCUCCAAGACUGGAUCAAGAUUUUCCUCAUGUGAAUCCCAGGAGUAUCUGCAAAGUCCACAGCUUAUGAAAAAGUUGUCCUGGGAAAGAUAUCUCCCUCCCCUCCUCCUCCUCCACCCUGCAGCAGGACCCAUUGUCUGCCGGCGGCAAGGCAUAAAGGAGUUAACGAAGGAGCCGGCGAGGAGAGUCAGAAUUCAACAAAGCAAGAAGAAACAGGCUGAAGAGCAACUACCUAAAUACAUGCAAUAA